GACGCUGGCGGCAGGCUUAACACAUGCAAGUCGAGCGCCCCGCAAGGGGAGCGGCAGACGGGAGAGUAACACGUGGGAACAUACCUUUUGGUUCGGAACAACUGAGGGAAACUUCAGCUAAUACCGGAUAAGCCCUUACGGGGAAAGAUUUAUCGCCGAAAGAUUGGCCCGCGUCUGAUUAGCUAGUUGGUGAGGUAACGGCUCACCAAGGCGACGAUCAGUAGCUGGUCUGAGAGGAUGAUCAGCCUCAUUGGGACUGAGACACGGCCCAAACUCCUACGGGAGGCAGCAGUGGGGAAUAUUGGACAAUGGGCGCAAGCCUGAUCCAGCCAUGCCGCGUGAGUGAUGAAGGCCUUAGGGUUGUAAAGCUCUUUUGCCCGGGAAGAUAAUGACGGUACCGGGAGAAUAAGCCCCGGCUAACUUCGUGCCAGCAGCCGCGGUAAUACGAAGGGGGCUAGCGUUGCUCGGAAUCACUGGGCGUAAAGCGCACGUAGGCGGACUCUUAAGUCAGGGGUGAAAUCCUGGAGCUCAACUCCAGAACUGCCUUUGAUACUGGGAGCCUUGAGUUCGGGAGAGGUGAGUGGAACUGCGAGUGUAGAGGUGAAAUUCGUAGAUAUUCGCAAGAACACCAGUGGCGAAGGCGGCUCACUGGCCCGAUAC
rnacentral:rRNA from 1 species